rnacentral:lncRNA from 1 species
UUCCCAUCGCAUCUCAUUCGAUUGUGUGAACCGUAGACGUCAAGUGGACGCUCUGUCGUCUGUCAUCUAUUUUCGUAACGUAGUGAUUUCGGUUGAGAUACAUGUAUUCGUCUAUUCAUUUAAUUGUCUAUCCUCUAUCGAUUUCUUGGCAGCUGAGUGAGCAUUCUACUCUUCUGAGCCAUGUCACAGCCUUUCGUUAAUGUUCCGAUCAUCGGAGAAGCUCGAGUCAUCAACGUAGGUGGAUGUCCUGCGUGUCGAGUGGGGGUAAUGAAGUAUUACUUCACUUGUCCAGGGAUAAUUCUUGCCAUCUUAUUCUUCCCGCUAGGUCUACUAUGUCUUUUCGGAUUACAGGAACAACGGUGUUCACAUUGUGGAGUCGUGCUGUAACCUGUAAUAUACAGUAGGCCUACUUGGAAUUAACUAGACAUCAAAAUAUUUUUCUAAUGAAAUACUUCUACAUCUGUGGAUUAACGUGAUUGUCUUUAAAUAGUCGGGCAAUCCUGAUAAUUGACUAAAUGAGAUUGUACACUGUACACAUUAAAAAUAAUACUUGCAGAAGUAAAACAUGCUGAAGUAACUUACAUAAAAUCUUUGUUCGUAUUUUGCGCAAGUUCGUUGUCUAAACCGGUCUAAACCUCUAUACGAAAUUCAAGAAACAUAAAUAUUUUUAAACAGAAAAGUAAGUAAAAUAUAGGCCACAGUGUCGAAUUGCUUCACUGUGUCAAAAGUGAUUUCAGUGUUCGAUUUUGAUUGUCCAGCAAUUUCAAAUAGGAAACAUCUAUCAAACAGUGGGUUGAAUUAAUUUUUUAAAUAAUUAAUUAAUUAUCUAUUGAUUAACAAGUUUCUAUUAACACAUAUUGAACUCGAUUAACCGUAAUUACAAAAUGUAUUUCUUACGAAACAGGAUUUUGAAAACAAUAAGAGUUGAUGGUGGUAACGAAAUAUAGCACGAAAUAGGGCACAAAAAACUAAAAAUAUUUAGAUAGAAAUUUAAAAAGAGAACGUAGGGGAGACAGGGACUGACAUAUUAUUUAAACCGGUAAGGAGAGGAACGACUCACUAAACAUAUGAACUGGUGAGUGCCUGAGUGGUAACGAAACUCAUUAAAGCAACUUAAAAUUAAAAAUGGCCACAAUGGAAGGGCUGACGUGUCGCCCACUCGCUGUCUCAAACACAAGCCCCGCAGCUGGUACACCUGAUAUUUUUUUUGUUAGAUUAGUUGAGUGGGAAAAACAAAUUUUCUGUUCGGAUUAUACCGGUAUUCUUUUGUACAAAACAGACAAAGGAGACCCAAAGGGAAACACACAAUUGCACAGAAGACUCCAAAGCACGAAAAAUGCGAUUUAAUGCAGCCAUUCUGUGAACAAUAUGAUAGAAAAUGAAAAAUAAUUAUUCGCGUGCGGUCAAGAAUAUGUGUGACAAGCUUAUUACGUGACACAUCUUGCAACUCGUAUUUCCACUACUUCCUCCAAUGUCGAUUACUGUUGCCGUGUUCGAGGUACUUCGUUGAGCAACAUAUGGCACUUAAAUUGAAAGGAGAAAUGCACGAACAUCCAUUUUGAUUUUUUUUAUAAAGUAAUGAAUAAAUAAGACCAGAUUGAAAUCGAUGAUUACCUUCUCUAGACACUGCUGAAAUUUCUUCGUCAGACAUGGUGCUGUGUGCGGUAGCUGCCAUGAAAGAGACUGUGCUAGCCUACCUGUAGCAGGCGAAGCGUGAAAAUUGUUUGUGGACUGAAGACGUAUUGAAAAAAAACCAGAGGUACAAAUAGGGGCAUAGUAGACAAUGCCACAGUAGACAAUGCCACUAUCGAUGAAUCGAUGAUAAGCGACAUUUAUUUAAAAAGCAAAAUUAAACAUUUUGAAUUUCACUUUUUUGCUGAAUGAAUUUAUUUUUGUCAUUUAUUUCUCGUUAGUAGUUUCUAUGAGUGGAUAAUUAUAAAUAGCGAAUAAUGAAAAAUGAAUAACCAAUUCUGGCUGCAAACGGGCAAACGGAAUUUCACGAAUACACUUCUCCUUAACCAAUUUGGCAACCUCGAUAGUCUUCUCGUCAAAACAAAAAUGGAAAAAAGUCGUCGUGUCGUGUCGAUUUUACAUCAUACUUCACAGGAUCAUUUCUGUAGUGUCGAUUUUACUCAUCGUAUGGUUGUGGUUUCUAUUUCUAUAAUAUGAAGAAAUUCUAUAAUAUUCUUAAUGUGAAGUCACGAAUCUUAUCUAAAAAUGGUAAUUAACAAACUGUCUGGCAAGGGAAAUCCUUGUCAAAUUGGGACAAUUCUUCAGAGAAAAGGCAAAAUCCUAUUAUCACCGACCCCAGCAUGGACCAAUCUCUCAUUCCAUCUUCUAGAGAAUCUUGGAUACGUAUA